AGAGGGAAUUCUGCCCUCAGACUGCCUACAGACUCGAGCUGCAACAUCAACUCUUCCCUGGUCUCCAGCCUGCUGGCCUGCCCUGCAGAUUUCGGACUUGCCAGCCUCCAUGACCACGCAGAUAGUCCAUUUAUAAUAAUACCUCAGUCAAAGCCCUGGGAUUCUGAGGGGAUGAGAGUCAGAAGUGUAAUGGCUCUUCACAUAAGGACACACGCUUUGGGUGCCCUGAGCUGCCUUUACAGUUCAGCUGCCUGGAAGCUGCCAUGCAGAAAAGACUACAUGAAGCAAUAGACGCAUGAGGAACCCCACUUGUUCCAGCUCCUGACUGAUUAUUCCCAACCCAGAUGCCUGACACAAGGGUUCCCCAGCCUUGUUCCAACAUGCAAGAAUUCAGAAAAUAUAAGACCUUUGUAACCUAUCUGAGAAAAAUACUUGAAGAAGUCCUCUGAUUCUCUAACCUUCAAACCAGAGCAGGAGAUGAAAAGGAGAGGAAA
rnacentral:lncRNA from 1 species